rnacentral:tRNA from 1 species
GCCGAAGUGGUGGAAUUUGGUAGACACGCUGUCUUGAGGGGGCAGUGGGCAACACCCGUGCGGGUUCAAAUCCCGCCUUCGGCA